rnacentral:rRNA from 1 species
GCGAACGCUGGCGGCGUGCUUAACACAUGCAAGUCGAACGAUGAAGCCCUUCGGGGUGGAUUAGUGGCGAACGGGUGAGUAACACGUGGGCAAUCUGCCCUUCACUCUGGGACAAGCCCUGGAAACGGGGUCUAAUACCGGAUAACACUCUGUCCCGCAUGGGACGGGGUUAAAAGCUCCGGCGGUGAAGGAUGAGCCCGCGGCCUAUCAGCUUGUUGGUGGGGUAAUGGCCUACCAAGGCGACGACGGGUAGCCGGCCUGAGAGGGCGACCGGCCACACUGGGACUGAGACACGGCCCAGACUCCUACGGGAGGCAGCAGUGGGGAAUAUUGCACAAUGGGCGAAAGCCUGAUGCAGCGACGCCGCGUGAGGGAUGACGGCCUUCGGGUUGUAAACCUCUUUCAGCAGGGAAGAAGCGAAAGUGACGGUACCUGCAGAAGAAGCGCCGGCUAACUACGUGCCAGCAGCCGCGGUAAUACGUAGGGCGCAAGCGUUGUCCGGAAUUAUUGGGCGUAAAGAGCUCGUAGGCGGCUUGUCACGUCGGAUGUGAAAGCCCGGGGCUUAACCCCGGGUCUGCAUUCGAUACGGGCUAGCUAGAGUGUGGUAGGGGAGAUCGGAAUUCCUGGUGUAGCGGU